rnacentral:rRNA from 1 species
AUUGAACGCUGGCGGCAUGCCUUACACAUGCAAGUCGAACGGCAGCACGGGAGCAAUCCUGGUGGCGAGUGGCGAACGGGUGAGUAAAGUAUCGGAACGUGCCCAGUCGUGGGGGAUAACGUAGCGAAAGUUACGCUAAUACCGCAUACGAUCUAUGGAUGAAAGCGGGGGAGCGCAAGACAGCGCGCGAUUUGAGCGGCCGAUAUCGGAUUAGGUAGUUGGUGGGGUAAAGGCUCACCAAGCCGACGAGCUGUAGCUGGUCUGAGAGGACGACCGGCAACACGGGGACUUAGACACGGCCCAGACUCCUACGGGAGGCAGCAGUGGGGAAUGUUGGACAAUGGGCGAAAGCCUUAUCCAGCCAUGCCGCGUGCAGGAUGAAGGCCUUCGGGUUGUAAACUGCUUUUGUACGGAACGAAAAGGUUUGGCCUAAUAAGCUGAGCUCAUGACGGUACCGUAAGAAUAAGCACCGGCUAACUACGUGCCAGCAGCCGCCGUAAUAC